AUCAGCAAUGAUUCUUAGUGGCGAACGGGUGAGUAACGCGUAGACAACCUGCCUUCUAGAUGGGGACAACACUGCGAAAGUGGUGCUAAUACCGAAUGUUGUAAUGAGCCUGCAUGGGCUUAAUACUAAAGGUGGCCUCUAUAUAUAAGCUAUCACUAGAAGAUGGGGCUGCGUCUGAUUAGCUAGUUGGUGAGGUAAUGGCUCACCAAGGCGAUGAUCAGUAGCCGGUCUGAGAGGAUGAACGGCCACACUGGGACUGAGACACGGCCCAGACUCCUACGGGAGGCAGCAGUGGGGAAUCUUCCGCAAUGGACGAAAGUCUGAC
rnacentral:rRNA from 1 species